rnacentral:lncRNA from 1 species
AAAAUAUGUUUUGUUUCACAAAAGAAACUUGUACAACAUUAAUUUACAUAUACCAAACCCCAUUGUUUACUACGAGUAGCCCAUACUACAAGUGUAUCUGACAAAUAUAUACAUUACAUCAUUCCAACAAAAGGUUUAGUCUUGAUACAAAAGGCAUGGCCUCAAAAGACUUUCAAUAUGAGCAAACAACAUCCAAUCACAGUAAAGCAUUGCUCAAGCAUUCUUUCCUGCAUAGGUCUUCUGACCUGCAUCUAGAGGUGGAAGGGAUAGGGUGAGUUCACAACUCAGUAGGAAAGUUUAUAACCAUCCUAAGUAUACCCUUAAAAACCUUGAAUUAAACGUUUAAUAAUAUGCAUGAUAAACAUUUCAUAACCAUUAACAAAUGUGUAAUCGUGUCAAACAUGUAUGCAUGUGUUUGUUGGUUUCAUCAUUGCUUUUCCCCAUCCAUCCUUUCACAACUGAUAAAUUGCUGACUCCCAACAAUCUACACAGCAGAUAUCAAUGCUCCACAAGACACUCGAUCAAUAUAAUAAUGACUAUUUUGGGACAUCACCCAAGGGCAAGUCAUACCCCGUGUCUUUUGGGACUCAUACCCAAGGGCAGGACCAACCCCAUGUCUUUAGGGACUAAAACCCAGGGGCAGGACCAACCCCAUACACCCACAUCGGAGUGUCUUCUUCGAGGGCUUUAGGGACUUUCACCCAAGGACCUACGGUCCCACAUAAACAAUAUAUCAAAUGAUAAGGCCUGUAGCAUCACAUAAGCACUUCGCCAUCAAUAAAUUCUCUGAAUAUGAUCUGUGAUAAUUCCAUAUCCUUCUUGCAAUGCAAUCACACCAUAAACCAUUUCGACAACACAAAACCACGAAUCUUCAUACCAAUAUACGUUCCAACAUCAUGGUAACAUUUCAAUGCAAUAAACCGAGAUGCAAUGACACUUUAAAAGAUUUUAUGAAAUCAUAGAAAUAACAUAAAAUUCCAACAAAUAAUUCAAGGAAAGAAAUUAGAUACACCAUAGAAUAGCAUAAAAUUCCCUACCUUACACCGACUUCCUUUUGUGUUUCUUCUAAGUAGGCGAUCUUUGCCUAUUACGAGGAACUGAAAUGAAACAACAUAAUUUAGGUUUUAGUUUAUUGUUGCAAAUUUUUAAUUCUCACAUUCUCUAAUCUAUAUCCUACAUGUUUUCAAAUCAAAUUUGAAUUGAAUUAAACAAUAUUUACAAUGCAUAUUAAUUUCCCUAAUUAAUUACCAAAUACUAAUUCUUUUGAUUUUCUUAAAGCCUAACCUAUUAACAAAUCCCAAGUGUCCAAAUAACCCAAUUCAUCACAUGUUUACUAAUCUAUUUUUCAAUCAAGCCAAAUUAAACAAAGAUUUAUGCUGAUCUUACCAUUAAUAAAAUACUUAACUUAAAAUACUUUAAUCUUUAAUUAAUUGUGAUUUUUAACUAAAACGGGUUUAUAGUUAAUUAUACUCAACUUUUACACAAUUUUUACCGUUAAUUCUUUUCAACAUACCAUUAGGAACCAAAAUAAACGAAAAUUACAAAAUUAAACAACUUGCUUACCUCAAAUCUACACUUUCUCUCUCUAGAUUCUCUC